GAUGCUGCUGCUGAUGCC
rnacentral:miRNA from 1 species